rnacentral:rRNA from 1 species
UACGUAGGGUGCGAGCGUUGUCCGGAUUUAUUGGGCGUAAAGAGCUCGUAGGCGGUUUGGUAAGUUGGAUGUGAAAUCUCCAGGCUCAACUUGGAGGGGUCAUUCGAUACUGCCAUGACUAGAGUUCGGUAGGGGAGUGUGGAAUUCCUGGUGGAGCGGUGAAAUGCGCAGAUAUCAGGAGGAACACCCGUAGCGAAGGCGGCACUCUGGGCCGGAACUGACGCUGAGGAGCGAAAGCGUGGGAGCGAACAGG